GAACGCUGGCGGUGCGCCUUAUGCAUGCAAGUCGAGCGAAGCUUUUCAGUAGUUUACUACAGAAAAUGACUGAGCGGCGAACGGGUGAGUAACGCGUGAGCAAUCUACCUUAGUUACAGGGAUAGCCCGAGGAAACUCGGAUUAAUACCUGAUAUUCUUUAUAUUUCGCAUGAAAUUAAAAGGAAAGGUCAGCCGAACUAAGAUGAGCUCGCGUUCUAUCAGCUAGUUGGUGAGGUAAAAGCUCACCAAGGCUACGACGGAUAGCUGGUCUGAGAGGACGAUCAGCCACACUGGGACUGAGACACGGCCCAGACUCCUACGGGAGGCUGCAGCAGGGAAUAUUGCGCAAUGAGCGAAAGCUUGACGCAGCGACACCGCGUGUGGGAUGACGGAUCUAGGUUUGUAAACCACUUUCAGGAGGGAAGAAAAUGACGGUACCUCCACAAGAAGCCCCGGCCAACUACGUGCC
rnacentral:rRNA from 1 species